rnacentral:rRNA from 1 species
GCGGACGGGUGAGUAACACGUGGGAACGUGCCUUUUGGUUCGGAAUAACUCAGGAAACUUGUGCUAAUACCGAAUGUGCCCUUCGGGGGAAAGAUUUAUCGCCAUUAGAGCGGCCCGCGUCUGAUUAGCUAGUUGGUGAGGUAACGGCUCACCAAGGCGACGAUCAGUAGCUGGUCUGAGAGGAUGACCAGCCACACUGGGACUGAGACACGGCCCAGACUCCUACGGGAGGCAGCAGUGGGGAAUCUUGCGCAAUGGGCGAAAGCCUGACGCAGCCAUGCCGCGUGAAUGAUGAAGGUCUUAGGAUUGUAAAAUUCUUUCACCGGGGACGAUAAUGACGGUACCCGGAGAAGAAGCCCCGGCUAACUUCGUGCCAGCAGCCGCGGUAAUACGAAGGGGGCUAGCGUUGCUCGGAAUUACUGGGCGUAAAGGGCGCGUAGGCGGAUCGUUAAGUCAGAGGUGAAAUCCCAGGGCUCAACCCUGGAACUGCCUUUGAUACUGGCGAUCUUGAGUAUGAGAGAGGUAUGUGGAACUCCGAGUGUAGAGGUGAAAUUCGUAGAUAUUCGGAAGAACACCAGUGGCGAAGGCGACAUACUGGCUCAUUACUGACGCUGAGGCGCGAAAGCGUGGGGAGCAAACAGGAUUAGAUACCUGGUAGUCCACGCCGUAAACGAUGA